rnacentral:rRNA from 1 species
CCCUUAGACGUUCUGGGCCGCACGCGCGCUACACUGACGAAGGCAACGAGCUACUCUUCACCGAAAGGUGUGGGUAAUCUUUUGAAACUUCGUCGUGCUGGGGAUAGAUCCUUGCAAUUUUUGAUCUUAAACGAGGAAUUCCUAGUAAGCGCAAGUCAUCAACUUGCGUUGAUUACGUCCCUGCCCUUUGUACACACCGCCCGUCGCUACUACCGAUUGAAUGGUUUAGUGAGGCCUUCGGAUCCGCGACUCGUUUGUGGAGAAGUUGGACAAACUCAGUCAUUUAGAGGAAGUAAAAGUCGUAACA